UACAAGCCAGGGGCCUCGAGGGCUCGAAUACAAGUGCUCGAUCAUAGACGAGUCAGCGGAAGCAACAAUAUCUGAGUACAGACAUAAGUUAACAAGUUGCCUUGAGAAGGCUAGCACAAACUUGGAUACAGAUCGAAAGAGGCGCAUGCCUCCUGCCUGGGAUCCUCCUAACUACUCCUGGUCGUCGUCAGCGGGCUGCACGUAGUAGAAGGCACCUCCGGUGUAGUAGUCGUCAUCGACGGUGGCGUCUGACUCCUAGGCUCCAUCGUCUGGUCACAGCAACCGGGUAAAGAAAGGGGGAAAAGGGGGAACAAGGCAACCGUGAGUACUCAUCCAAAGUACUCGCAAGCAAGGAGCUACACUACAUAUGCAUGGAUAUAUGUGUAAAGGGCCAUAUCGGUGGACUGAACUGCAGAAUGCCAGAAUAAGGGGGGGGAUAGCUAAUCCUGUCGAAGACUACGCUUCUGGCAGCCUCCGUCUUGCAGUAGGUAGAAGAGGGUAGAUUGAAGUCCUCCAAGUAGCAUCGCAUAGCAUAAUCCUACCCGGCGAUCCUCUCCUCGUAGCCCUGUUAGAGAGCGACCACCGGGUUGUAUCUGGCUAUUGGAAGGGUGUGUUUUAUUAAGUAUCCGGUUCUAGUUGCCAUAAGGUCAAGGUACAACUCCAAGUCAUCCUGUUACUGAAGAUCACGGCUAUUCGAAUAGAUUAACUUCCCUGCAGGGGUGCACCACAUAGCCCAACACGCUUGAUCCCAUUUGGCCGGACACACUUUUCUGGGUCAUGCCCGGCCGCGGAAGAUCAACACGUCGCAGCCCCACCUAGGCACAACAGAGAGGCUAGCACGCCGGUCUAAACCUAAGCGCACAGGGGUCUGGGCCCAUCGCCCAAUGCACACCUGCACAUUGCGAGGGCGGCCGGAAGCAGACCUAGCAACCUCCAGUACAACAGAAGUCACGUCACGCGGUCCAAUCUGGCGCGCGCCGCUCAGUCGCUGACGUCACGAAGGCUUCGGCUGAUACCACGACGUCGGAAUACCCAUAACUACUCCCGCGUAGAUGGUUAGUGCGUAUAGACCAAAUGGCCAGACUCAGAUCAAAUACCCAGAUCUCGUUAUGCGUGUUAAGUAUCCGCGAAUGCCGACAGGGCCAGGCCCACCUCUCACCCAGGUAGUCUAAACCUGCCCUGUCGCUCCGCCACAAAGAUCCAUCCAGAGGGCCGUCGGGACAAAGGUCCUUUCAGCCCCCAAUCCUUGAAUCACUCGCGGGUACUCCUCGAGCCGACCCGUCUUUAGUCACCACAUGUAUCAUGUAUAAGUAUAUAGGUAUAUACCCGUGAUCACCUCCCGAGUGAUCACGGCCCGAUAGUAUAGCACAACAGACGGACAAGAAUGUAGGGCCACAGAUGGAAAUACUAGCAUCCUAUACUAAGCAAGUAGGAUUGCAGGUAAAGGUAUCAACAGCACUAUCAAAGACAGCUAUGCAUCAGGAUAGGAAUAAUGAAAGCAGUAACAUGCUACACUACUCUAAUGCAAGCAGUAUAGAGGAGAGUAGGCGAUAUNNNNNNNNNNNNNNNNNNNNNNNNNNNAAGAGAGAGGGGUCGUCAACACCGUAGUCGAACUGGGGUGGUCGUCGGCAGCCUCGGGGUCUAUCGAAAAGAAGUAACGGAGGGGGAACACAAUAAAUAACAUAGCAAUCAAAGUAUCACAAAGCGUAGCAUGGCAAUACGUGGUGCUAGAGGUGACCUAACGCAGUAGGAGGUGAUACCGGGUGAAGGGGGAAACAUCCGGGAAAGUAUCCCCGGUGUUCUGUGUUUUCGGACAAAUGAACCGGAGGUGAAAUGUUGCAGGUUCACUAUGCUAGGGACGCGUGGCGGACGAACGGGCUGUGUAUCCGGAUUCGCUGGAUUUUUCUGACCAACUUUCAUGUAGAAAACAUUUUCAUCCGAGUUACCGAUCAUUUUAUAUUAAUUUUCAAAGUCUAAAUGAAUUUUAGGAAUUUUAAAAUAACUAAACCAAAUAAUUAGUAAAUGCUAUGGGUACAUAGAAGUGUACCCAACAUCUCUUACGGUGUGCAUUACACGUGGGUCCCCAGUGCUGAGUCAGCAGCUGACUCAGCCAACCUUAUCCACAUGAACAGUACAGGUGGGUCCCACAUGUAAGUGUCUCAUCCUUAUUAUUAUUUUUUUAUCCUAUUUCUUUUCUUUCUCUCUUUUUUUAUUUGACCCGGCCCCACUGGCCAGGGCACAGCCGGCCACAGGGGGAACUCUACGCACGCACGUAGCAGGAACGGCGCGGCCGGCGGCGAGCCACGGCGGGGCUCAGGCGGGGGAGGAUGGCGCUGCCCGGAGAGCCCAGGUAGGUUCGCGGGCGCGGCCAAGGGCGGUGGUAGGCGGUGACGGCCGCGCGGCCAGAGGGGAGCUGAGGGGCGCGCGCAACGGCAGCCACGGGGAGGCAGCGCGCGGUGUGGGGAUUGGUGCGGCCUUCGCGCCGGCGACUGCGAGCAGCUGGUGACGGCGGCCGGCGGGAGCUGGCGGCGCGUGGCCAGUGCGCGCCGGGCGAGAGAGGCGCGACCGACGAGCAGGGGGCAACACGCGACGGGCGCCGCGUCAACAGCAGAAGGAGCACGUACGCAGACGCUGUGCUGCGGCCAUGGCAGGCACCGGCUUGUACAGGCGACUACGGUGACGAAUCGAACGGGAGAUGAGGGGAAUCGGCAUGGGGCUCACAGCGGAGGUCGAUGGCGCGUUCGGGGAGGCACGAGAGCACAGAUCCACGAUGAGGCAGCGGUGAAGACCGACGGCCAAGACGAAGGCCACGGCGACGAGGGAGUGGCUCCCCUGCUCGAUCCAGCAGUGUAGUCAAAGGAGCAGAAGCCGACGGGGCCCGUGGACCUGCUGGCUUGACACGGGGAGGCUGUUGGCAACACGGGCGGCAAAGAAACGGCGACGGCAUGGGCGUCCAUGAGUGGAUCUGGAGGAGGGAAAAAACGAAAGGUAGAGGAAGGAGAAAGGAGUGGGUGAGUGCGGGGGUGGGAGAGGACCGAGGGG
rnacentral:lncRNA from 1 species